AUUGAACGCUGGCGGCAGGCUUAACACAUGCAAGUCGAGCGGGGGAAGGUAGCUUGCUACUGGACCUAGCGGCGGACGGGUGAGUAAUGCUUAGGAAUCUGCCUAUUAGUGGGGGACAACAUCUCGAAAGGGAUGCUAAUACCGCAUACGUCCUACGGGAGAAAGCAGGGGAUCUUCGGACCUUGCGCUAAUAGAUGAGCCUAAGUCGGAUUAGCUAGUUGGUGGGGUAAAGGCCUACCAAGGCGACGAUCUGUAGCGGGUCUGAGAGGAUGAUCCGCCACACUGGGACUAAGACACGGCCCAGACUCCUACGGGGGGCAGCAGUGGGGAAUAUUGGACAAGGGGGGGAACCCUGAUCCAGCCAUGCCGCGUGUGUGAAGAAGGCCUUAUGGUUGUAAAGCACUUUAAGCGAGGAGGAGGCUACUCUAGUUAAUACCUAGGGAUAGUGGACGUUACUCGCAGAAUAAGCACCAGCUAACUCUGUGCCAGCCGCCGCCGUAA
rnacentral:rRNA from 1 species